UUCUAACACAGUGUGUGUGUGUGUGUGUGUGUGUGUGCGCAGAGCGCAGUGUGUUUUUUAGAGGGAUCUUUGAGCGGUAUGAGAAAAGAGACGAUGAAGAAAGUAACUCAGGAAAUAUAGCGCUGGCAGUCCUGCUGUCGGUGGCCGUCUUGGCUCUGCUGGCGGUCAUCACCUACUGUUUCCUCAAGAACCGGAAAGAGCGCUCCCACAGGCCCGUCAGCACAGGCCCCGCCCACGUGGCGCUGUCAGAGCAGGACACGCUGGUCUACAACAGCACCACCAAACCUGUAUGACGUCAUCACCACCACAUCUCACUACCGUCACCAUGGAGACCUGUACCAGCUGCGGCCUGUUUAGAUUUCAAACAAACUUUAUUCAAACCUGCUGUGUGCAAAGGUUGUUUUAACGUGUUUUUUACAGUGUGCUGGGUUUGAUGUAAUAUAUUAAUGAUUCCUGUUUUUUACAGUGUGCUGGGUUUGAUGUAAUAUAUUAAUGAUUCCUGUUUUUUACAGUGUUCUGGGUUUGAUGUAAUAUAUUAAUGAUUCCUGUUUUUUACAGUGUUCUGGGUUUGAUUUGAUAUAUUCAUAAUGUCUGCGUUUGGGUCUCAGGUUUGUUUGUUUGUUUAGUGUGAUGUUUCUAAAUAUGAACUGAAUCCUCUCGGAGUUAUUUUCAUUUUUAAGAGAAAUAAAUAAACUGUCAUUUUAAAGAUGUUGAUGUAAAUCCCAGAAGAACUCAAAGAAAAUAAAAAUAAUAAUUCUAUAA